CCAUACUUCCAGGAAAAGUCUCUAAGCUUCAGUUACAUAGGAAUCGUACCCGAAACCGACACAGGUGGACAGGUAGAGUAUACCAAGGCGCUUGAGAGAACGAUGCUGAAGGAACUAGGCAAAUUGCAUCUGUAACUUCGGAAGAAAGAUGACCUGUAUAUGGGCAACCAUGUGCAGGUGGCACAAGCUAGGGGGUAGCGACUGUUUAUUAAAAACACAGGGCUCUGCAAAGUCAAUAGACGACGUAUAGGGUCUGACGCCUGCCCGGUGCCGGAAGGUUAAGAGGAGAGGUGAGAGCUUUGAAUCGAAGCCCCGGUAAACGGCGGCCGUAACAAUAACGGU
rnacentral:rRNA from 1 species